rnacentral:rRNA from 1 species
UACGGGGGGAGCAAGCGUUAAUCGGAAUUACUGGGCGUAAAGGGCUCGUAGGCGGCCCAACUAAGUCAGACGUGAAAUCCCCAGGCUCAACCUGGGAACUGCGUCUGAUACUGGAUGGCUUGAAUCCGGGAGAGGGAUGUGGAAUUCCAGGUGUAGCGGUGAAAUGCGUAGAUAUCUGGAGGAACACCGGUGGCGAAGGCGACAUCCUGGACCGGUAUUGACGCUGAGGCGCGAAAGCCAGGGGAGCCAAACGGG